AUUUUUGGUAUCCGAUGAACUUUUUUAUAGUCUGUGAUGGCUGCUGUUGACAUUAUAAUAUGUUGUGGCGUUGUGUUGAAGGCCUUCUCGGAAGGCCUGUAUAUUAGGAUGGCUGGGCUCGGUGCGGGAGGGUCGUUGAGCAUCGAGCGGGGAUUGUGUGUCGUGAACUUAUUUACUUAGGAAGUAGGAUGCAAUGGUGUUUCUUGCUGGGAAGGAGAUGGUAUGUCGAGACACGAAGGUGAAUGAGACGAUAUUUCCGAGCGAUGACUAAAUCCGAGACGAAACGAAUGUAUUUGGCCUCAUCCACUCUCGCAAGGGCCACACAGACGAAUAUAUAGAUAUAAAAGUAGAUAUAUACAGGAUAUCGUGGCACCAAAGUCAAAACGCCAUGGCGUCGUUAAGUUUUGUCUGACAUCCUGUAUGGAGUGGCCGGGACCCCAGCACCAAGACGCAUACUUUGAUCCAGGAUCAAGGAAGGAAGGAAGGAAAUAACAGGCGACGGCAUAUGCUAUAUACAUCAAGACUGAAACUGGUCGAGGGGGAAUGUGAUCGGAGAAAAAAAAAAGGAAAAAAAAAAAGCUAAAAAAUCAAUGAUCUCACUGGGUCGUGGAUCUAUCUAAGCGUUGUUGCAGCCACUGGGCCAAUGUUUGGCGUAGAACAAAACACAUCGGACGAGGCAAGCACAACUAACUAGUAACCCUUCACCCCCUUGACGAGACGAGUGAUGGCUUGUAAUUGAGUCGAGGCAGACGCCGUCCCGAAUGAUGCAUAGUCGCAUAUGCAUCGGCUCGUCAAGGACAAUGAACAAGCUGGAAAGUGGAGGGACCUUUGGUCCUAGACUCCUUUGUUGCUUGGGAUGAGAUGUAUGGAUCCCACACUAGAGUAGAGCAGAGACAAAGAUAUGAGCCGAGAACACGGAUCGCAGUACGGAGUAACGACAAUGCGAGUCCAGUUUAGUAAUGGAUCUGAAGUCUUCCAGUUGGUUCUUGCGAUAAGACCAUUGAUGACGAUCCGAGGGUUUAGCUCUGUCCACAGGAUGAACCGGUUCGUUGCACAUCCAGAUCGAUCAUCAGUUAGAGUUCAAGAGGGGGGCCUAUCAGGUCAGUAGGUUCCAAAGGAUAGUCUAGACUAGUAUCCGAAGCAUAUUGCUGUGGAGUAUCGCACCUGAGCACCGACACUAUGAUGCCGUAGCCACUGCACUAGACUAAGUGGACUCUGAACCCAGGUAACUCGUCCUCAGCAAGAACCACACUGUCGGGAUACAUCAUCAGUUGAGUCUGGACAUGGUUCUUGUCCUGUCAAUUCUGGGUCCGAGUGCAGCCAUUUGUCCGACGCAAGCAAGGGAUGCAAGCCACGCAAGCCAUACCAGAUAUUGAGAGAGACGGAUGAGAAAGGAUGAGAUGGAUCAAUUGUCGCCGGGGAAGGCCCAGUUAAUCAACUUAACUCUACCGUAGGUGGGGAAUUGAGUUGGACGCCGGAUGUUCAGACCACCGCUUCCUGACUCUCUCUCUCGACGUCCCUCCUGUUCCGAUUUGGGGACGAGUCAUCUUCUGCUCUAGCUGUUGGUGGCGUAUAUGAGAGAUCAAUUGCUAGUUCUCGUAUUCUUGAACGAUAUGACCCUCCGGACCGCAAGGGAUGCACACUAACUAAUUAGCUUACAUGCUUAGGGCAUAUCUGUCAGAUCGAUGUAUUUCCUGCUGGCUGGCCAGGUACUAUCAUGUCUAACAGAGUUAGAGCUAGUGAUUACGGAUGUGCUAUGCUGUCUGCUGCCACGUCUGCGAAACGAGUACUAUAAACGCGACAACAUGCAUGAUGUCGGAGUACAUAGAUCCAAAAUCGCGUAUUCUCUACGAGUACUUGAAUCCAUAGACUGUGAAUUAUACAUACCUAGGUAGAUUAGCUGAAACGUCGGAUUGCAUGAAUGUCCUCGGUACGACAAGAUCCAGUAACUCCUGAGGACCUCUCGCCGUCAUAGCCUAAAAAAGGCAUCAUUCAAAUCACCAGCUCUAAAAAAGCACAGGGCAUCUGUCAGUAAUGAGAGAGAAGCAAAAGAGCGACUUUUUCGGGACGGACACCGACCUCAGUCCGCAUUCAAGCAUCCAAGGUUCUCUAGUUAUUUAUUUUAGAC
rnacentral:lncRNA from 1 species